rnacentral:rRNA from 1 species
UGGGGAAUAUUGGACAAUGGGGGGAACCCUGAUCCAGCCAUGCCGCGUGUGUGAAGAAGGCCUUAUGGUUGUAAAGCACUUUAAGCGAGGAGGAGGGUACUGGUAUUAAUACUACCAGCUACUGGACGUUACUCGCAGAAUAAGCACCGGCUAACUCUGUGCCAGCAGCCGCGGUAAUACAGAGGGUGCGAGCGUUAAUCGGAUUUACUGGGCGUAAAGCGUGCGUAGGCGGCUAAUUGAGUCGGAUGUGAAAUCCCCGAGCUUAACUUGGGAAUUGCAUUCGAUACUGGUUAGCUAGAGUGUGGGAGAGGGUGGUAGAAUUCCAGGUGUAGCGGUGAAAUGCGUAGAGAUAUGGAGGAAUACCGAUGGCGAAGGCAGCCAUCUGGCCUAACACUGACGCUGAGGUACGAAAGCAUGGGGAGCAAACAGG